AACGGAGACAACAAAGGUUCCAAACGUCUUUGAACUUCAUCAUAUUUUAUUACAUGAUUCAAAUAUGUAUUAAAACAGUAUUUUCAAUUUUUUUGUUUUUUUUUCAAAAUCUAUGUGUUAACCCCUACGAAAAGAGUGAGUUUUCGGUAAAUGCUCUAUAUAUGAAGCCUAUAAUCUUUAAAUUUGUUUUAAAAUUUAAAACCACAUUAUACCUUUGUAUUAAUGUCUGAUAAACUUCUUUUCAUGGUACAUGGACAUCGUUCUAAUUUUUUAUCCAUUAAUUUAGCAAAACUGCAAAUACUCCCUAAAUCAUUAGACUAACCACUAUAAAAUUGCUAUUCCUUAGAGAAACGAAGACAACAAAGGUUCCAAACCUCUUUGAACUUCAUCAUAUUUUAUUACAUGAUUCAAAUAUGUAUUAAAACAGUAUUGUCAAAUUUUUUGAAUUUUUCUCAAAAUCUAUGUGUACCCCCCUACAAAAAUAGUGAGUUUUCGGUAAAUACUCAAUAUAUGAAGCCUAUAAUUUUUAAAUUUGUUUUAAAAUUUAAAACCACAUUAUACCUUUGUAUUAAUGUAUGAUAAACUUCUUUUCAUGGUACAUGGACAUCGUUCUAAUUUUUUAUCCAUUAAUUUAGUAAAACUG
rnacentral:lncRNA from 1 species